GAUGAAGAACGCAGCGAAAUGCGAUAAGUAAUGUGAAUUGCAGAAUUCAGUGAAUCAUCGAAUCUUUGAACGCACAUUGCGCCCCCUGGUAUUCCGGGGGGCAUGCCUGUCCGAGCGUCAUUACAACCCUCAAGCUCAGCUUGGUGUUGGUCCCCGCCGCCCCGGCGGGCCCUAAAGUCAGUGGCGGUGCCGUCCGGCUCCGAGCGUAGUAAUUCUUCUCGCUCUGGAGGUCCGGUCGUGUGCUCGCCAGCAACCCCCAAUUUUUUUCAGGUUGACCUCGGAUCAGGUAGGGAUACCCGCUGAACUUAAGCAUAUCAAUAAGCGGAGGA
rnacentral:misc_RNA from 1 species